UACGUAGGGUGCAAGCGUUGUCCGGAAUUAUUGGGCGUAAAGAGCUCGUAGGCGGUUUGUCACGUCUGCUGUGAAAACUCGGGGCUUAACUCCGGGCCUGCAGUGGGUACGGGCAGACUAGAGUGCGGUAGGGGAGACUGGAAUUCCUGGUGUAGCGGUGAAAUGCGCAGAUAUCGGGAGGAACACCGGUGGCGAAGGCGGUUCUCUGGGCCUGACCUGACGCUGAGGAGCGAAAGCGUGGGGAGCGAACAGG
rnacentral:rRNA from 1 species